rnacentral:rRNA from 1 species
AUGUUGGAUGUAAGACAACUAAUCAACAAACUCAAGGAAACUCUCGAAAACACGAGGUACCUCAUUGUAAUUGAUGAUAUAAGGGAUGAAAAACUAUGGAAAAUAAUCAAAGGGGCAUUCUCUAAUAGCAACAAUUGUGGUAGUCGGUUAAUCAUGACAACUCGUAUAGUCAGUGUAGCUAAAUUAUGUUGCUCAUGUGCUGACGAUUCAAUCUAUCAAAUGGAGCCACUUAGUGAUGAUGAUUCCAAAAGGCUCUUCUAUAAAAGGAUAUUUUCUCACGAGAGUGGUUGUCCUCUUGAAUUUGAAGAAGUGUCCAUAGAUAUAUUGAAGAAAUGUGGUGGAGUACCAUUAGCCAUCAUUAUUAUAGCUGGUAUCUUGGUUAUUAAUCAUCACCCAAAACCGAAGGAUGAGUGGCAUGUUUUGCUAGAUUCCAUUGGUCAUGGACUUACCAAAGACCCCAGUGUAGAGGAGAUGUUGAGGAUACUAACGCUUAGCUAUUAUAACCUGCCUUCUCAUUUGAAGACAUGUUUGCUAUACCUAAGCAUGUUUCCGGAAUAUCACUAUAUUACGAAAGAUCAAUUGAUAUGGAUGUGGAUUGCUGAAAGUUUUAUCCAGUUUGAAGAUCCACAAACUAGUCUAUUUGAGAUCGGAGAAAAUUACUUCAAUGAGCUUGUGAAUAGAAGCUUAAUCCAGCCGGAAUAUUUUGAUGGGUUUGUAAUUGCUUGUCAUGUACACAAUAGUGUUCUUGAUUUAAUUUGCUCAUUGUCAACUGAAGAGAACUUUACUACUAUAUUGAAUGAUACUUGGGAUAGCAUUUCUUCUAAAAGAAAGGUCCGUAGGCUGUCCCUCCAAAAUAAUAUCAAGGAAGAACAUCAAAAUACACAUCUCAAAUCUGCAAGGUCUAUUGCUACAUUUGAUGAUGUUGAUAUUGGUUUCAUGCCUCCUUUCUCAAGGUUUCUUUUUUUGCGUGUAUUGGAUUUGACUGAAUGUGAUAUUAGUGAUCAUAACCAUCUUAACCUUUGGGAGUUGUGGAGUUUAGUUCAGCUGAGGUACCUAGGCCUAUACAAAUCAGGAAUUUCUGAGGUCCCAGAAGAAGUUGGAAAGUUGCAGUUUUUGCAGGUGCUGGAUUUGAGAGGGAAUUAUGAUAUAACAGAACUCCCAUCAGCAAUUACUAAGCUCAGAAGAUUGAUGUGCCUACAAAUUGAUUCUUCCUGCAGUCGGAUACCAGAUGGAAUUGGAAACAUGAUAUCAAUGGAAAAUCUCGGUUCUCUCUGUGGUGACUGUCUAGGCACCGUGAAAGAUUUGGGCAACGUGGAAAGACUAAGGCACCUCAAUAUUUGCUUUAAUGUUAUGAGCUUGGAGUUGGAGCAAGCUUUCGUGGAGUCAUUAGGGAAAUUACGCAACAUCCAGAGUGUACAUAUUUGGUUCCUUGGUUAUCAUCAUUAUGUAUUCAUGGAUCUCCUGGGGGGAGAUUGGUCGCCCCCUCAAAGUCUUCGUGAAUUUUCUGCAAAGUUCAAGCUCGUCUUCAGCAAACUGCCAACAUGGUUAAGGAGGAACCCCUCGCAUCUGUCACAGCUCUCGAGGUUAGAUAUUUUUGUCGACAAAGUGCGACAGGAGGAUCUGGACUUCCUUGGAAGGUUACCGGCCCUCCGUGACCUCUCCUUGGAGACAAUGCGCCAAGAUCCGUUACUCGUCGGUGCUGACGGUUUCCGUUGCCUGACAAGACUCAAGCUGAUUUGCAAUUGGGCUGGCCGCAUUGUGUUCCAGCCAGAAGCUUUGCCCAAGACUGAACAUGUUGAUAUCUUGAUAUAUUUUCGUGCUGCCAACGGUCGUCAUUGGUUUGAGCUGGGCUUGGAGAACCUGCAGUCCCUUCGGAUGGUCAUAGUCCAAAUCAGAUUGUUGCCGGGAGUGAUAAGCGGCGACACCGGGGCCGAGCAAGGAAAGGCUACUUUGGAAAACGCACUCCAUGCCCAUCCUAAUCGUCCCAAAGUUUACGUCUCCAUUUACGCAGAGCCAUCAGGCUGUCACUACUGA